CCGAGAAUAGCUCAGUUGGUAGUAGCGGCUGACUGUAGAGUGUGUUUCAUCAGUAAUCAGCAGGUCCCUGGUUCAAAUCCGGGUUCUCGGA